AUGCUUGUAGGCAACAAGACCGAUCUCGAGGAUCAAAGAGCUGUUUCAAUGGAAGAUGCAAAGGAAUUUGCCCAAAAUGAAGGGUUGUUCUUCUUAGAGACAUCUGCCUUGGAUGCUACAAAUGUGGAAUCAGCUUUCUUGACGACCCUUACAGAAAUUUUUAAUAUCAUGAACAAGAAAAACCUAACUUCAGAGGAUCAAGAAAAUGGUGACGCACCUAAUUUAAGUGGCAAGAAAGUACUAAUCCCUGGUCCUGCACAGGUGAUCCCACAGAACAAAUUGUGCUGCAAAUCAUCCUGAUUAUUGGCAUUUCACAGUUCAUUCCCAUUGUUUAGAUUUAUCCGCGACUUUGUUGUUUAUGUUUUU
rnacentral:lncRNA from 1 species